UACGUAGGUGGCAAGCGUUUGUCCGGAUUUACUGGGCGUAAAGAGCGCGCAGGCGGUCGGAUAAGUCGAAUGUGAAAGCCCCCGGCUCAACUGGGGAGGGUCAUUCGAUACUGAUCGACUCGAAGGCAGGAGAGGGUAGUGGAAUUCCCGGUGUAGUGGUGAAAUGCGUAGAUAUCGGGAGGAACACCAGUGGCGAAGGCGGGUCUCUGGACAGUUCCUGACGCUGAGGCACGAAGGCCAGGGGAGCAAACGGG
rnacentral:rRNA from 1 species